UUCAGAUUUUGGGACAGACGGGGUAAGAAUUUUGUCCCAACAAGUAACUUUCUGUUGUGGGGACGCCGUGGGACACACGGACGGGCCCUGGCGACAGUCAUGGCUAAAAAUGAGCAAGAAACAGCCCAACUUGUGUUUAAAGGAAAGUGUCUAUCCCCAGCUUUGAUUUUUAUUUCAUCUCACUCAUUGUUCGAGAGCCCAUGUUCUUAAUUUUCAUUGUUAAAUUUGUUAUUUUAGACUUACAAAAUACAGUUUCAUCCAUUUCAUGUCAUGGAUAGGCAGGGUGAGAUUUUUAUGUGUCCUGAUAAAAGAAAUUUCUGUCGCAGGACAUAGAGACGGGUCCUGAAGAACUCCAUAGCUCCACAAUGUAGGAACAGCCGAAUAUGAACCCAAAGGAAAGCUGAGGCGCCAGUACCUGCGACAGAUCGUUAAAACUGGAGGAUUUCUCCUGCUCAGGGGAAGCAGCAUGGCAGGCAGGGGGAGGGAGAAGAGAGGAGACAGAGAAGAGGUGUUCUGUUAGCAGUGAUACAGUCCUGAUUAGGACAGAGAAGAGGUGUUCUGUUAGCAGUGAUACAGUCCUGAUUAGGACAGAGAAGAGGUGUUCUGUUAGCAGUGAUACAGUCCCGAUAAGGACAGAGAAGAGGUGUUCUGUUAGCAGUGAUACAGUCCUGAUUAGGACAGAGAAGAGGUGUUCUGUUAGCAGUGAUACAGUCCUGAUUAGGACAGAGAAGAGGUGUUCUGUUAGCAGUGAUACAGUCCUGAUUAGGACAGAGAAGAGGUGUUCUGUUAGCAGUGAUACAGUCCUGAUUAGGACAGAGAAGAGGUGUUCUGUUAGCAGUGAUACAGUCCCGAUAAGGACAGAGAAGAGGUGUUCUGUUAGCAGUGAUACAGUCCUGAUUAGGACAGAGAAGAGGUGUUCUGUUAGCAGUGAUACAGUCCUGAUUAGGACAGAGAAGAGGUGUUCUGUUAGCAGUGAUACAGUCCUGAUUAGGACAGAGAAGAGGUGUUCUGUUAGCAGUGAUACAGUCCUGAUUAGGACAGAGAAGAGGUGUUCUGUUAGCAGUGAUACAGUCCUGAUUAGGACAGAGAAGAGGUGUUCUGUUAGCAGUGAUACAGUCCCGAUAAGGACAGAGAAGAGGUGUUCUGUUAGCAGUGAUACAGUCCUGAUUAGGACAGAGAAGAGGUGUUCUGUUAUGAAUCAUACAGUCCUGAUAAGGACAGAGAAGAGGUGUUCUGUUAGCAGUGAUACAGUCCUGAUUAGGACAGAGAAGAGGUGUUCUGUUAGCAGUGAUACAGUCCUGAUUAGGACAGAGAAGAGGUGUUCUGUUAGCAGUGAUACAGUCCUGAUAAGGACAGAGAAGAGGUGUUCUGUUAGCAGUGAUACAGUCCUGAUUAGGACAGAGAAGAGGUGUUCUGUUAGCAGUGAUACAGUCCUGAUUAGGACAGAGAAGAGGUGUUCUGUUAGCAGUGAUACAGUCCCGAUAAGGACAGAGAAGAGGUGUUCUGUUAGCAGUGAUACAGUCCUGAUUAGGACAGAGAAGAGGUGUUCUGUUAUGAAUCAUACAGUCCUGAUAAGGACAGAGAAGAGGUGUUCUGUUAGCAGUGAUACAGUCCUGAUUAGGACAGAGAAGAGGUGUUCUGUUAUGAAUCAUACAGUCCUGAUUAGGACAGAGAAGAG